GAUGAACGCUGGCGGCGUGCCUAAUACAUGCAAGUCGAGCGAACGGACGAGAAGCUUGCUUCUCUGAUGUUAGCGGCGGACGGGUGAGUAACACGUGGAUAACCUACCUAUAAGACUGGGAUAACUUCGGGAAACCGGAGCUAAUACCGGAUAAUAUUUUGAACCGCAUGGUUCAAAAGUGAAAGACGGUCUUGCUGUCACUUAUAGAUGGAUCCGCGCUGCAUUAGCUAGUUGGUAAGGUAACGGCUUACCAAGGCAACGAUGCAUAGCCGACCUGAGAGGGGAUCGGCCACACUGGAACUGAGACACGGUCCAGACUCCUACGGGAGGCAGCAGUAGGGAAUCUUCCGCAAUGGGCGAAAGCCUGACGGAGCAACGCCGCGUGAGUGAUGAAGGUCUUCGGAUCGUAAAACUCUGUUAUUAGGGAAGAACAUAUGUGUAAGUAACUGUGCACAUCUUGACGGUACCUAAUCAGAAAGCCACGGCUAACUACGUGCCAGCAGCCGCGGUAAUACGUAGGUGGCAAGCGUUAUCCGGAAUUAUUGGGCGUAAAGCGCGCGUAGGCGGUUUUUUAAGUCUGAUGUGAAAGCCCACGGCUCAACCGUGGAGGGUCAUUGGAAACUGGAAAACUUGAGUGCAGAAGAGGAAAGUGGAAUUCCAUGUGUAGCGGUGAAAUGCGCAGAGAUAUGGAGGAACACCAGUGGCGAAGGCGACUUUCUGGUCUGUAACUGACGCUGAUGUGCGAAAGCGUGGGGAUCAAACAGGAUUAGAUACCCUGGUAGUCCACGCCGUAAACGAUGAGUGCUAAGUGUUAGGGGGUUUCCGCCCCUUAGUGCUGCAGCUAACGCAUUAAGCACUCCGCCUGGGGAGUACGACCGCAAGGUUGAAACUCAAAGGAAUUGACGGGGACCCGCACAAGCGGUGGAGCAUGUGGUUUAAUUCGAAGCAACGCGAAGAACCUUACCAAAUCUUGACAUCCUUUGACAACUCUAGAGAUAGAGCCUUCCCCUUCGGGGGACAAAGUGACAGGUGGUGCAUGGUUGUCGUCAGCUCGUGUCGUGAGAUGUUGGGUUAAGUCCCGCAACGAGCGCAACCCUUAAGCUUAGUUGCCAUCAUUAAGUUGGGCACUCUAAGUUGACUGCCGGUGACAAACCGGAGGAAGGUGGGGAUGACGUCAAAUCAUCAUGCCCCUUAUGAUUUGGGCUACACACGUGCUACAAUGGACAAUACAAAGGGCAGCGAAACCGCGAGGUCAAGCAAAUCCCAUAAAGUUGUUCUCAGUUCGGAUUGUAGUCUGCAACUCGACUACAUGAAGCUGGAAUCGCUAGUAAUCGUAGAUCAGCAUGCUACGGUGAAUACGUUCCCGGGUCU
rnacentral:rRNA from 1 species